rnacentral:rRNA from 1 species
UACGGGGGGGGCAAGCGUUGUUCGGAAUCACUGGGCGUAAAGGGCGUGUAGGCGGGAAGGUAAGUCGGGCGUGAAAUCCCUGAGCUCAACUCAGGAACUGCACUCGAAACUACUUUUCUUGAGUGCCGGAGAGGAAAGCGGAAUACCUGGUGUAGAGGUGAAAUUCGUAGAUAUCAGGUGGAACACCAGUGGCGAAGGCGGCUUUCUGGACGGUAACUGACGCUGAGACGCGAAAGCGUGGGGAGCAAACAGG